CGCAGAGGUGAUGAGGAAGGCUGGCAGGGGGAGAGGGAAUCCGCGCAGGACUCCCCCCCCACACACAGCUACAGCAAGCCCCACCCCCCUCAAAGGGGCUACAGGAUUGAGAAAAGAACUGAACCCAACAAAGAACUGAGCACUGUGGAAGGAAGGGAGAUGGGUUGAAAUACCUAGAGUAGUCUUCUUUUGUAGACAACUUUCAGAGGGCUUAGGUGGUCUGCUAAGGUGGUAUGUGGCAAGCUCCGCCCACACAGCAGCUGUGACCAUCCCACCGAGGAGAGAAGCAGAGCGGAAGAAUGCCCCUGCAUCAACUGCUUUCUGUCUCUCUGGUUCUGAGGGGAAGGGCUGGAUACCCCAACAACUACAGGAGAAAGGGAUGGGGGGAGGAAAGAUGGGCAGGUGCAAGAGUGGAAGUGGGGGUGAUGAGAAAGAAAGAUAUGCAGUUCAGAUUUAUUUUUCAAAGCCUAAAAUAAACCAUCUCAACUAAAGGCGUGCAUAAAUAAGCUCUAAAUAAGUAAGUCAACAGUUCAUUGUAUCUUAUUGAACAACAAACAAAUAUUAAAACAGAA